GGAUUAGAUACCCUGGUAGUCCACGCCGUAAACGAUGUCUACUAGCUGUAGGGGUACUUGAGACCUUUGUAGCGCAGCUAACGCACUAAGUAGACCCCCUGGGGAGUACGGCCGCAAGGUUAAAACUCAAAUGAAUUGACGGGGGCCCGCACAAGCAGUGGAGCAUGUGGUUUAAUUCGAUGCAACGCGAAGAACCUUACCAGGCCUUGACAUCCUCGGAAUCUUACAGAGAUGUAAGAGUGCCUUCGGGAGCCGAGUGACAGGUGCUGCAUGGCUGUCGUCAGCUCGUGCCG
rnacentral:rRNA from 1 species